CUUCAGCGCGCCGAUCAGGACCGGCCGCUCGCGGUCCUGGCCGUAGGUGGCCAGCAGCGCCUGGGCCUC
rnacentral:antisense_RNA from 1 species